CCUGUGGCUGGGGGUGAAAGGCCAAUCAAACCGGGAGAUAGCUGGUUCUCCCCGAAAGCUAUUUAGGUAGCGCCUCGUGAAUUCAUCUCCGGGGGUAGAGCACUGUUUCGGCUAGGGGGCCAUCCCGGCUUACCAACCCGAUGCAAACUGCGAAUACCGGAGAAUGUUAUCACGGGAGACACACGGCGGGUGCUAACGUCCGUCGUGAAGAGGGAAACAACCCAGACCGCCAGCUAAGGUCCCAAAGUCAUGGUUAAGUGGGAAACGAUGUGGGAAGGCCCAGACAGCCAGGAUGUUGGCUUAGAAGCAGCCAUCAUUUAAAGAAAGCGUAAUAGCUCACUGGUCGAGUCGGCCUGCGCGGAAGAUGUAACGGGGCUAAACCAUGCACCGAAGCUGCGGCAGCGAACGUAUCACCCAAGACAACUUUACGGAGUUGACGAUUGACGGAGCGAAGCGACGUCAAAGCGUUCAUUAAAGUCGAGUUGGCUUAGGGAUACGUUCGUUGGGUAGGGGAGCGUUCUGUAAGCCUGUGAAGGUGUGUCGUGAGGCAUGCUGGAGGUAUCAGAAGUGCGAAUGCUGACAUAAGUAACGAUAAAGCGGGUGAAAAGCCCGCUCGCCGGAAGACCAAGGGUUCCUGUCCAACGUUAAUCGGGGCAGGGUGAGUCGACCCCUAAGGCGAGGCCGAAAGGCGUAGUCGAUGGGAAACGGGUUAAUAUUCCCGUACUUGGUGUUACUGCGAAGGGGGGACGGAGAAGGCUAUGUUGGCCGGGCGACGGUUGUCCCGGUUUAAGCGUGUAGGUGUGUGUUCCAGGUAAAUCCGGUUCACUUUAACACUGAGGCGUGACGACGAGGCACUACGGUGCUGAAGCAACAAAUGCCCUGCUUCCAGGAAAAGCCUCUAAGCAUCAGGUAACACGAAAUCGUACCCCAAACCGACACAGGUGGUCAGGUAGAGAAUACCAAGGCGCUUGAGAGAACUCGGGUGAAGGAACUAGGCAAAAUGGUGCCGUAACUUCGGGAGAAGGCACGCUGACACGUAGGUGAAGUGAUUUACUCAUGGAGCUGAAGUCAGUCGAAGAUACCAGCUGGCUGCAACUGUUUAUUAAAAACACAGCACUGUGCAAACACGAAAGUGGACGUAUACGGUGUGACGCCUGCCCGGUGCCGGAAGGUUAAUUGAUGGGGUCAGCGUAAGCGAAGCUCCUGAUCGAAGCCCCGGUAAACGGCGGCCGUAACUAUAACGGUCCUAAGGUAGCGAAAUUCCUUGUCGGGUAAGUUCCGACCUGCACGAAUGGCGUAAUGAUGGCCAGGCUGUCUCCACCCGAGACUCAGUGAAAUUGAACUCGCUGUGAAGAUGCAGUGUACCCGCGGCAAGACGGAAAGACCCCGUGAACCUUUACUAUAGCUUGACACUGAACAUUGAGCCUUGAUGUGUAGGAUAGGUGGGAGGCUUUGAAGUGUGGACGCCAGUCUGCAUGGAGCCGACCUUGAAAUACCACCCUUUAAUGUUUGAUGUUCUAACGUGGACCCGUAAUCCGGGUUGCGGACAGUGUCUGGUGGGUAGUUUGACUGGGGCGGUCUCCUCCUAAAGAGUAACGGAGGAGCACGAAGGUUGGCUAAUCCUGGUCGGACAUCAGGAGGUUAGUGCAAUGGCAUAAGCCAGCUUGACUGCGAGCGUGACGGCGCGAGCAGGUGCGAAAGCAGGUCAUAGUGAUCCGGUGGUUCUGAAUGGAAGGGCCAUCGCUCAACGGAUAAAAGGUACUCCGGGGAUAACAGGCUGAUACCGCCCAAGAGUUCAUAUCGACGGCGGUGUUUGGCACCUCGAUGUCGGCUCAUCACAUCCUGGGGCUGAAGUAGGUCCCAAGGGUAUGGCUGUUCGCCAUUUAAAGUGGUACGCGAGCUGGGUUUAGAACGUCGUGAGACAGUUCGGUCCCUAUCUGCCGUGGGCGCUGGAGAACUGAGGGGGGCUGCUCCUAGUACGAGAGGACCGGAGUGGACGCAUCACUGGUGUUCGGGUUGUCAUGCCAAUGGCACUGCCCGGUAGCUAAAUGCGGAAGAGAUAAGUGCUGAAAGCAUCUAA
rnacentral:rRNA from 1 species